rnacentral:rRNA from 1 species
AUGUUGGCUGUCCGCUGUGGCGGCGCCGGCGCCGGCGCCCACCUGACGGCCCAGAGAAUAACUGCAGCUCGGAGUGGAAAUGGCCGCGGGCUUCUUGCCGCGGGCACCGGGGCCAGGGAGCUUACACACAGGGUUUCCUUCUCACCGUGCUCCCAUCCCCACCGGAUCGGUGCUUCAUGGCCGUUGGUAGUGCGUUGCUCCCCUGGUCCUUCUCCUGGCAUAGAGGAUCGGCCCGUCAUUAAAAACAAAAGGGACGAGGCAUGGGAGGCGUUGAAGGCGGAGAUGCUUGACAUGUUCCGCCCUCUGAUGCGCAGCGUAGCUGAGAUUUGUUCGCUCCGCCGCGCAUACGAUCUUGAGGACUAUCAAAUCGGCAUGGUCUUUGGUGCAUUUCUUGGAUGUGUUGGCUGUUACCAACUGUGGAAGACGGCUCCUUCACUCUUUGUUGAUGUCAUGCUCGCCUUCAUGUUCUAUAGACUCAGUGUUGUAUCAUCAGAGUUGCAUAAACGCCGCAAGUCAAACAGCUUGAUAACCCGACUGAAAUUUGGUACCAUACUUAUCAUGGUUUUGAAGGAUAUCAAGAAAAACUAUGUCCUCCUGGAUGCUAUUAGAAUGCCGGUUUUCCUCCUCUACAUCUGUGCAUUCCUAUUUGAUGUUGCUGGUGUGAAGAAGUAUGGAAGGCGUGGUCUGAUUUAUUUUGUUAAUUUGCUGAAAACCAGAGGCGGUAUUCAAGAAAUGUAUAGAAUUAUGUGGUAUCCUGGCUAUAUCUCUCCGUAUGACGAUUCUGAGGACUGGCUACGAGACUCUUAG